rnacentral:rRNA from 1 species
GUGAACGCUGGCGGUAGGCCUAACACAUGCCAGUCGAACGGCAGCACAGUAAGCGCUUGCUCUUACGGGUGGCGAGUGGCGGACGGGUGAGGAAUACAUCGGAAUCUACUUUUUCGUGGGGGAUAACGUAGGGAAACUUACGCUAAUACCGCAUACGACCUACGGGUGAAAGCAGGGGAUCUUCGGACCUUGCGCGAUUGAAUGAGCCGAUGUCGGAUUAGCUAGUUGGCGGGGUAAAGGCCCACCAAGGCGACGAUCCGUAGCUGGUCUGAGAGGAUGAUCAGCCACACUGGAACUGAGACACGGUCCAGACUCCUACGGGAGGCAGCAGUGGGGAAUAUUGGACAAUGGGCGCAAGCCUGAUCCAGCCAUACCGCGUGGGUGAAGAAGGCCUUCGGGUUGUAAAGCCCUUUUGUUGGGAAAGAAAAGCAGCAGGUUAAUACCCCGCUGUUCUGACGGUACCCAAAGAAUAAGCACCGGCUAACUUCGUG